ACUCCUACGGGAGGCAGCAGUGGGGAAUAUUGCACAAUGGGGGAAACCCUGAUGCAGCCAUGCCGCGUGUGUGAAGAAGGCCUUCGGGUUGUAAAGCACUUUCAGUAGGGAGGAAGGUAGUGUAGUUAACACCUGCACUAUUUGACGUUACCUACAGAAGAAGCACCGGCUAACUCCGUGCCAGCAGCCGCGGUAAUACGGAGGGUGCGAGCGUUAAUCGGAAUUACUGGGCGUAAAGCGCAUGCAGGCGGCCUGUUAAGUCAGAUGUGAAAGCCCGGGGCUUAACCUCGGAAUUGCAUUUGAAACUGGCAGGCUAGAGUCUUGUAGAGGGGGGUAGAAUUUCAGGUGUAGCGGUGAAAUGCGUAGAGAUCUGAAGGAAUACCAGUGGCGAAGGCGGCCCCCUGGACAAAGACUGACGCUCAGAUGCGAAAGCGUGGGGGAGCAAACAGGAUUAGAUACCCUGGUAGGAUAGCG
rnacentral:rRNA from 1 species